GGCGACAUAGCCAAGUGGCUAAGGCAGAGGACUGCAAAUCCUCCAUUCCCCGGUUCAAAUCCGGGUGUCGCCUCCA
rnacentral:tRNA from 4 species